ensembl:lncRNA
AUGUGGAGCUUCAGGAACCUGUGGCAGCCUCCAUCUUGCCCUCACCCGGAAGUCAGAAACAGAGAAGGAAUCUUGUAUUACCUUUUCUGCUGUAAGAAAAUUGCACAGACAGACUACAAACAGAGGCACAACUCUGUGGCCCAAAUGAUUCAUUGGAACUUAUGCCUCAAGUACCACCUCCCUGCAGUAAAGAACUGGUGGGAUCACAAACCUGCAAAGGUUGUGGAAAAUGAACACGCAAAGAUACUGUGGGACUUCCGAAUCCAGACUGACAAAGUUCUGGAACACAACACACCAGACAUCACAGUUGUAGAAAAGAACAAGGUUUGGAUCAUUGAUGUUGCCAUCCCAGGUGACAGUCGCAUUGAUGAAAAACAACAGGAAAAACUCAGCCGCUAUCAGGACCUCAAGAUUGAACUUCAAAGACUCUGGCAGAAACCAGUGCAGGUGGUCCCGGUGGUGAUGGGCACACUGGGUGCCGUGCCAAAAGAUCUCAGCCAGCAUUUGGAAACAAUAGACAUUGACAAAAUUACGAUCUGCCAACUGCAAAAGGCCACCCUACUGGGAUCUGCACGCAUCAUCCGAAAAUACAUCACACAGUCCUAGACACUUGGGAAGUGUUCGGCUUGUGAUUUUGUGAAACGAAAUCCAGCAUAUCUAUCUUGUUUGCUGUGUCAUACAACGUCGUUGUGUCAAUAAUAAUAAUAAUAAUAAUAAUAAUAUCAUCCCCUUUUGUUUUAAAAGACACUGUUUCAUUUUACAAAUCCUAUCAGAUGCUUUAUGUGUUCCUAUUCUGUCCCAGGCUCUGAACCAUCACAUGAGCAAGUGCAGUCCCCAACCACUCUACAUUCUCCUCUUUUUAAACCACAGAAAACUUCAAUAUUGAAAGCCAAGGUUAGUAUGGACCACAUCCCAUUGGGAGGGAUUUUAAACCCCUCUCCCAUGAUCUGUCUUUCCCAUGCCUUCCUUCCCUCCAUUAUACCAGUGUUAUUAUAAACCACUUUGCCACAAUCCCCUCCUCUUUGACUUUCCUCACCUCCAUUAUGCCAGUGUUAUGUUAGCAAUAGGACAAUUUUGAAAGCCUCAAUUACUAUGAAGGAAAAAAUGCAGUGAAAACAAAGUGGUGAUAUCUUAAAAUAGUGCUAUUCCUUAGGAUUACAUUAAUUUUAAACAAUUACUUUUCCAGGCUCAUGCAAAACAAUUUUGUAAAAGAAGUGGAGCAUAGGAGAUAGCUCAUAAGAAUGCCUAUUCCUCCACAUCACUAAAAUGAUUCAACAUGGGCAAAUCUGACAGUUCUCUUCCCAUGUGCUUUUAAUCACAUUCUCUCAUUUCAGGUGCAUCAGGAGCUCAAAAGAUGGUUUCUCCCCAUCUCCUGCCCCCACCCCCCUUUUCUCUGCUCUUCUACUACAUUUCAGGGGCAAAGUGCAAUGGAUGACAACCAGAAGUAGCUUUAUGUCGUGUGAAGGGUCUGUGGCACUUUGUCCCUGAAAUGCAUUAGAAGUGUGUGGAAAGGAAGGAGACUUACAUCUGAUGAGGUCCUAAAUAUGCAGUCUCCAAGGUGUUUUAAAAGAGACAAAUUUAUUUGUCUUGGCUAUCUUUUCUGGCACUAUAAAGUACACCAUGAUUCCAUGUUUAACAGUUAUUAUUUCUGUUGCUUUUCAAUAUUGCCAUUUAAAGAAAAUUAUUGAGAAAAGCAGUCAGUUAACCUGACUUAUACCAGCAGGAGCCUUGACAGAAAACAAAGCAAAUGAACAAAUUCUCUUUGAUUCACAGUAUAAAGAAGACAGAAUUACAUGUCCUCUAUACACAAGAACAGAUGUAACUCAAAGCCAAGACUCAUCGUUUGCAUGGAGAUAGUCCCAGUUUCAGUCCCCAGUAUCUCCAACUAAAGGCUGGAAUUCUGAAGAUUUGUCGCUUCGAUUUCUGCUGGUGAUCAGAUGAAUAUGUUUGAUGCUACUCUUGAGAUACUUAAGACUAGGCAUUUUAUACAAAUGGAAUUCUGUUUACAUGGUAGGAUACAGCUACGUUUGAUGCCAUUUCUAAUAAAUGAAUAAAAUGGGGCAGCAUUCUAUAACUCAUGAAAAGCCACACUGUGUGAAGAGCUUCCAUAGAUACAGGAUGUCCUUCUUUUCAGAAAGGUAGUCUACACAGUUAGAAUGUGAUGGAGGGAGCAGGUGAGGUUGCUAAAACACACACACAAUUAUUUUUGUUUGGUUUCAGAAUGUCCAAAGAGAGCUUAGAUCUAAACUUUUUUCUAUGUGAAAUUUGGGAUACAUUCCCAUUGCACAUUCAUAUAGAGUGGGGGUCACUUCAAUUGAGAAAUUUACCAAGGUCGGUUUCUAUUCAUCAGUUCAUAAUAUAUUUUGAGAUGAUUCUCCAUAGCACUGGUCAUCUUCUUGGCCAUUGAUACUUCAAUCCGCAUAGUUUUCCAUGGGGCAAGGCUGGUUUUGGUUGUAUUUUAGCAGUAAACAAUUACACAUACCGUAUUUUUUCUCAGUCUUGAUUUAAAACACACACACACAUUUCUGCUUGAAGUCGUCAGCUCACUGAGAUCCAGCAAUUUGUGCCCAACAAUGAUCUGAAAACGUGCCUUGCAGCACAAAAUAUGCUAGCAAGCUCAAUCUUCCUUCCAAUGUCCUUUGGUUGGAGUCUUUGCAUUGUGAUGACAUUUUUAAACCAGCUGGGGACAUGAUAUGACUAUGAAUGCAUUCCUCUAAUCUAGAAAGUGAGUAACUUCAAGCAAUGAAAGUGACUGACUGCCAACCAGGAGUGUGGAAUGCGUGAGAUGAGAAAAUAUUUGCUACAGUCCUGGGAAGCUUUAGAAUACUUAUGCUCAUUGCUGUGAAAGAAGCCCCAUGAUUACAGGUGCAUGGCCACUUCUGAGUGAAUCAAAUAUAGCUUAAGCUUUUCCAUUUUCUUCUACAUUUCCCUGAACACCAAAGUCAUUUUUGUAAGGUGCAGAAAUCAAAGAGCUAGCACAUUAAUGCAUGCAAUAUAACAGUAAACAGAGGGUGAGCUAUUACAGUCUGCCAUCUAGCCAGCACAUCAGCCCGAGUUUUGGAUUCAUAUUCAUUCUUUAGUGAAAUGCUUUGGGCUAAAUUCAUCUCACUUAUUGACCAUCAAUCAGCCAAUAAAAUUGCUGCUCCAGAGUAGAUAUGUAUAAAAUUAAGUUGUGCUGUUUAUGUUCAGUCUGAAGAUGUCCAAAUUUGUAAGAAUUGUUUGUGACCCUUUCUUUACACCUUGAUUUGGCUCAACCUCAACACACAGACGACCUCCCCUUGGCCAUUUCACGAGCCUCCAUGUUGA